GUACACUCCUGCGGGAGGCAGCAGUGGGGAAUAUUGGACAAUGGGCGCAAGCCUGAUCCAGCCAUGCCGCGUGAGUGAUGAAGGCCCUAGGGUUGUAAAGCUCUUUCACCGGUGAAGAUAAUGACGGUAACCGGAGAAGAAGCCCCGGCUAACUUCGUGCCAGCAGCCGCGGUAAUACGAAGGGGGCUAGCGUUGUUCGGAUUUACUGGGCGUAAAGCGCACGUAGGCGGACUAUUAAGUCAGGGGUGAAAUCCCGGGGCUCAACCCCGGAACUGCCUUUGAUACUGGUAGUCUUGAGUUCGAGAGAGGUGAGUGGAAUUCCGAGUGUAGAGGUGAAAUUCGUAGAUAUUCGGAGGAACACCAGUGGCGAAGGCGGCUCACUGGCUCGAUACUGACGCUGAGGUGCGAAAGCGUGGGGAGCAAACAGGAUUAGAAACCCGUGUAGUCCCAUGAU
rnacentral:rRNA from 1 species